GACGAACGCUGGCGGCGUGCUUAACACAUGCAAGUCGAACGGAAAGGCCCUGCUUUUGUGGGGUGCUCGAGUGGCGAACGGGUGAGUAACACGUGAGUAACCUGCCCUUGACUUUGGGAUAACUUCAGGAAACUGGGGCUAAUACCGGAUAGGAGCUCCUGCUGCAUGGUGGGGGUUGGAAAGUUUCGGCGGUUGGGGAUGGACUCGCGGCUUAUCAGCUUGUUGGUGGGGUAGUGGCUUACCAAGGCUUUGACGGGUAGCCGGCCUGAGAGGGUGACCGGCCACAUUGGGACUGAGGUACGGCCCAGACUGCUACGGGAGGCAACAGUGGGGAAUAUUGCACAAUGGGCGGAAGCCAGAUGCAGCAACGCCGCGUGCGGGAUGACGGCCUUCGGGUUGUAAACCGCUUUCGCCUGUGACGAAGCGUGAGUGACGGUAAUGGGUAAAGAAGCACCGGCUAACUACGUG
rnacentral:rRNA from 1 species